rnacentral:lncRNA from 1 species
GUUAUUUUCAACGGGAACAUUAGAAUGAUCUAGAAUAGAACCCAGAUGGAACCAAGAGGCGGAUCCAGGGGGGGGGAGGCCUUCGUGGGAAAAAUUUGGUUGAUUAUAUAGGGAAUCAUUGAAGCAUGACUGGAGCGGGUCCCCCUUCGGAAAAGUUCUGGAUCCGCCACUGUCUAGACAUAUUUACGUAAAUAAGGGAUGAGUAAAGGAAAAAAAAAAAGAAAAAAAAA